rnacentral:snRNA from 1 species
UAUCUGUUCUUAUCAGUUUAAUAUCUGAUAUGUCCUUUAUUUGAGGACUGUAUAUUAAAUUGAUUUUUGAAACAGGGGGAUGGAAUAGGAGCUUGCUCUGUCUAUCCCAUGCAUUGACCUGGUAUUGCAGUGUCUCCAGGAAUGGUGC